UACGUAGGUGGCAAGCGUUGUCCGGAAUUAUUGGGCGUAAAGCGCGCGCAGGCGGUUCCUUAAGUCUGAUGUGAAAGCCCCCGGCUCAACCGGGGAGGGUCAUUGGAAACUGGGGAACUUGAGUACUGAAGAGGAAAGCGGAAUUCCACGUGUAGCGGUGAAAUGCGUAGAGAUGUGGAGGAACACCAGUGGCGAAGGCGGCUUUCUGGUCAGUAACUGACGCUCAAACACGAAAGCUAGGGGAGCGAACGGG
rnacentral:rRNA from 1 species